rnacentral:rRNA from 1 species
GAUGAACGCUAGCGGCAGGCUUAACACAUGCAAGUCGAGGGGCAGCGUAGAUUGCUUGCAAUCUGACGGCGACCGGCGAACGGGUGCGUAACGCGUAUAGAACCUACCUUUUACAGAGGGAUACCCCAUGGAAACGUGGACUAAUACCUCAUGGUACAUUUGAGUGGCAUCACUUAAAUAUUAAAGAUCUAUCGGUACAAGAUGAGCAUGCGUCCCAUUAGUUAGUUGGUAAGGUAACGGCUUACCAAGACAAUGAUGGGUAGGGGUCCUGAGAGGGAGAUCCCCCACACUGGUACUGAGACACGGACCAG